rnacentral:lncRNA from 1 species
GUUCUUAACUGAAAAAAAAAGGAUCUGGGAUGUAGAAAAAUAAACAAUUUCUGGUUGAGUGCAAUGCUGCAAGACAUUCCUCGUCAAACCAAGUAACAUGUGAAAAUGAAGACGGAAAUCUGAGUUUUGUGCACUGGCUGUGGAGUAGGAAAUAGAAAAAUCAAAAUUGGACACCUGUUGUGGGCUAAUACUAGAGGAGUAGAAGCCAAAAUGCCCUUUUAUGUUGGACUGACUUUGACAGGUCUUGAAUCUUACUUUGCCCUUCAACUCUCUUAGUGUCAGAUUGAAACAAUUUCAAGAACUGAAG